rnacentral:rRNA from 1 species
AGUGGCGGACGGGUGAGUAACACGUAGGUAACCUGCCCCGGAGCGGGGGAUAACAUUUAGAAACAGAUGCUAAUACCGCAUAACAACAAAAGCCACAUGGCUUUUGUUUGAAAGAUGGCUUUGGCUAUCACUCUGGGAUGGACCUGCGGUGCAUUAGCUAGUUGGUAAGGUAACGGCUUACCAAGGCGAUGAUGCAUAGCCGAGUUGAGAGACUGAUCGGCCACAAUGGAACUGAGACACGGUCCAUACUCCUACGGGAGGCAGCAGUAGGGAAUCUUCCACAAUGGGCGCAAGCCUGAUGGAGCAACACCGCGUGAAUGAAGAAGGGUUUCGGCUCGUAAAGCUCUGUUGUUGGAGAAGAACGUGCGUGAGAGUAACUGUUCACGCAGUGACGGUAUCCAACCAGAAAGUCACGGCUAACUACGUGCCAGCAGCCGCGGUAAUGCGUAGGUGGCAAGCGUUAUCCGGAUUUAUUGGGCGUAAAGCGAGCGCAGGCGGUUGCUUAGGUCUGAUGUGAAAGCCUUCGGCUUAACCGAAGAAGUGCAUCGGAAACCGGGCAACUUGAGUGCAGAAGAGGACAGUGGAACUCCAUGUGUAGCGGUGGAAUGCGUAGAUAUAUGGAAGAACACCAGUGGCGAAGGCGGCUGUCUGGUCUGCAACUGACGCUGAGGCUCGAAAGCAUGGGUAGCGAACAGGAUUAGAUACCCUGGUAGACCAUGCCGUAAACGAUGAGUGCUAGGUGU